GCUCAAGCAACAAGGCAACAGGUUGGUUGACAGUGUGACCGUUUGUCAAUUAGUUUGUUUAUGUUUAUGUUCCAUUAGUUAUUGUUUUUUAGUUAUUGGUGCUUUUAUCGCCGGUUUCUGAGGCCAACUUACAUCUGCAAACUUCCGCCCUAAUCUUCGCUGGAAAAGAGCACAAUCACUUGCGCCUGCUUUUGAGGCCUCCAUGGGAUGGACUGAGGGCCCUGUAAUCCAUUUUUGGGCCCCUAAACUCGUUCAUUCAUUAGGCAAAGGCCUGGAUGGAAUCUCUGGAUCUGCAGCCCUUCCUCUAAGCAGGCGUUUGCAAGUUAUAGCGCUUUAAAGUAUGACGCAUUCAAAGCCUUCCCCCACCCUGAAACAAGCGGCUGACGUCAUAGGGCUUCUAGCAAAAACUAGGCAAAACUCCUCCAGCUUGGUGCCCAGGUGGCCAAAAAUUUCAAAUUCGCCCCCUUGCGGCCAGUUGCGGAAGCUGAAAACAGUUUCAAAAAAUUCCUCUCUGUCGCUUUUGUCAUAAAAGUUUUUCCCCGAGCUUCUAUGUACAGUAUUUCUGCGAUUAUUUGAACAUGUUUGUCGAACAUAGUCAUGCUCUUAGUGUGUCAGUGUUAAACGAGUUAUAGUUGACAAAAAAUAUAUGUGAAUUUUAUUGAUCAA